rnacentral:rRNA from 1 species
CCUACGGGGGGCAGCAGUGGGGAAUAUUGGACAAUGGGGGGAACCCUGAUCCAGCCAUGCCGCGUGUGUGAAGAAGGCCCUCGGGUUGUAAAGCACUUUCAGUGAGGAAGAACGCCUGGUGGUUAAUACCCAUCAGGAAAGACAUCACUCACAGAAGAAGCACCGGCUAACUCCGUGCCAGCAGCCGCGGUAAUACGGAGGGUGCGAGCGUUAAUCGGAAUUACUGGGCGUAAAGCGCGCGUAGGUGGCUUGAUAAGCCGGUUGUGAAAGCCCCGGGCUCAACCUGGGAACGGCAUCCGGAACUGUCAAGCUAGAGUGCAGGAGAGGAAGGUAGAAUUCCCGGUGUAGCGGUGAAAUGCGUAGAGAUCGGGAGGAAUACCAGUGGCGAAGGCGGCCUUCUGGACUGACACUGACACUGAGGUGCGAAAGCGUGGGUAGCAAACGGGAUUAGAUACCCCAGUAGUC